UUUUAAGAGUCGUGGGAAUCCAAGCCAAUCAGAGAGAGAGAGAGAGAGGCGACUUCAGAGAGAGAGAGAGAGAGAGAGGGAUUGACACUUGGUGGUUCGAUCUGGAUCGAUUCUUCGUCAUUUUGAUCUUGAAAAGAUGGUUCUGUAUUUGAUUUGAGUGUUUAUCGUAGUUAUUGUUCGAAUCUCUGUAAUUUAAAUCGAUCUAGGGCUCGUUCUUCUUCGUGUUUGGGUGCGGCAUGGCUCAAGUUCUUGAUCACCAGCAAAUGGAAAGAAUGGAGUGGUGAUAGAGAGAUGUUGCUGCCGAUCGAGAGUUGCAUCCAACAGCCUCGGUAUCACAGAACAUUAGUUCAGGGGCUUGAAGCGUGGUGCUGUGUCCUUCAUCAACAGCUCAGCCUUAUCAAUCUCUGCUUCAAGCAGACCAAUUUCAAGUUCAUUCGAUCUCUGCUUCAGUCUAUACACCGCCAUUGAAGAGCUCAAUCGAGUUUGGCCAGGUCAAACUCAUCCAAAAGGCAGUCCUGUUCUUGGAUAUUUGACUGCUGUCAUAUUGAUUGGACCUUAUGGUGUCUCUAUUAUUCAUCAUGUACAUGGAACAAAGGCGAUAGCUGAAUUUGAAGUUGUUUUCUUGAUGUUUAAUAUUGGCCUGGAGCUUUCUGUUGAAAGACUGAGUUCUAUGAAGAAAUAUGUUUUUGGUUUGGGCUCUGCUCAGGUGGUUGGAAAACUUGUUUUUCAAAUAUUAUCAUGUUGAGUUUGAGCAAGCCUAAUAGUUCUGUAUCUGUUCAUAUUCAGUUUGUUCAAAUGAAGACUAGAAUUUUAGCUCUUUGAUAUGUCUCCUUUAAUCUCGAGUACUUAUUUGAUUUUCAUUUUGGUAAUCUUAUUUUUGCGCACUUGAUUGGUAAUUUUUCUUUAGGAUUUUUCAAUCUCCUUUGAUCUUCUUCUAUGUAGGGUUUUGUUCUACAUCGGGUUAUGGCUUUGGAUCGCUCUGAAUGACUUUUAUGAACUUGAUUAGUUGAAAUUUGUAUGUUGGCAUCUAUAUGUAUAAUCAAAUUCUAAAAUUUACGUAGGGUUUAGCUACAUAUGGUAAAACGUGCAGAAAAAUGUAUAGAACUCAUGACUAAAAAAUAGAGAGUAGUUUUUAAUUUAUUUGUGUAAUUUCCUUUUAAAGUUCUGUGUUUUGUAUUUCUGGGAAAUUUUUGUAGCAAAACAUCUGCACGUAACUUAUGGAUUAAAUCAUAUGUUGUAGUUUGGCUGGACAAGGUGAUUUGAUUGUGACUCGUCUCUAGUAUUUUCUAUAUUUCAGUUGUGUGAAAUGUUUUCUUUUUUUUUCUUUUUUUUCUUUUAUUUAUUUUUUUUUGGGCAGGGCAACUUAUAUGAACUCAGGAAAAAUGGGGAAACUUUUCUCCAAAGUUGAAGAAGUUCAAAAUUGAGGCUUCAAAGUGUUGUGUAUCAAUCAUAUUUGUACAUAUUUUUUUUUUGUUUUAGUAUUUUAAAUUUUGAGAUGAUGAUGGAGUAUAUGAAUUUGGUUGUGAUUUUUGUAAUUUCAAUUUUGAUGUGUU